UACGUAGGGUGCAAGCGUUGUCCGGAAUUAUUGGGCGUAAAGAGCUCGUAGGCGGUCUGUUGCGUCCGCUGUGAAAACUCGGGGCUUAACCCCGAGCCUGCAGUGGAUACGGGCAGACUAGAGGUAGGUAGGGGAGAAUGGAAUUCCCGGUGUAGCGGUGAAAUGCGCAGAUAUCGGGAGGAACACCAGUGGCGAAGGCGGCGACCUGGGCCAAUACUGACGCUGAGGUGCGAAAGCGUGGGGAGCAAACAGG
rnacentral:rRNA from 1 species